rnacentral:rRNA from 1 species
UCGGGAAUUUUGGGCAAUGGGCGAAAGCCUGACCCAGCAACGCCGCGUGAAGGAUGAAGUAUUUCGGUAUGUAAACUUCGUAAGAAUAGGAAGAAUAAAUGACGGUACUAUUUGUAAGGUCCGGCUAACUACGUGCCAGCAGCCGCGGUAAUACGUAGGGACCAAGCGUUGUUCGGAUUUACUGGGCGUAAAGGGCGCGUAGGCGGCAUGACAAGUCACUUGUGAAAUCUCUGGGCUUAACCCAGAACGGCCAAGUGAUACUGUCGCGCUAGAGUGCAGAAGGGGCAAUCGGAAUUCUUGGUGUAGCGGUGAAAUGCGUAGAUAUCAAGAGGAACACCUGAGGUGAAGACGGGUUGCUGGGCUGACACUGACGCUGAGGCGCGAAAGCCAGGGGAGCAAACGGGAUUAGAUACCCAAGUAGUCCCUGAGCGGGCUGGCAAGGCGCAU